ACUGGGGGACUUGGAAAUAAAGAUUCACCAAAAAGGAAGCCGUAAAAGGGAGUAAGCCAAGAUGAUUGGGAUUUUCUUUGUAAUUAUUUUGGCACAAAAAAACAAAUGGAAAUAUCUGAAAAGAAUACUAAUAAUCGGUUUAAUAGGCCACUUGAAGGUGCACAUGGAUCGAAAACUUUGGUUCAACAUUAUCACACAGCUGCUGAUCCUGUGACGGGAGAGCUU